rnacentral:lncRNA from 1 species
UUGGUGUGGCCCAUUGGAGGCCAAGGGAUUAUACAUGGCCAAAACCAAGUCUUGGAGAUAUUUGUGGAAAAAUCAAGCUCAAGGGGCCCUCCAUCCUUUUUCAUCUCUAUCUCCUUGCACUCUCUCACCCACCGUCCACCUCCAUCCUCUCUCUCCCUUCUCAUUUCUUCGUGCGACUCCUUCGUGAAUAGCUGAUGUUGAAGACCGGCAGCUCCUUCCUUUGCAAAUUGAAGUCCACGUUCCUCUUCUUCACCGAUUCUGCCAGCCACACGCCAGCCCCACUACCGUUGGUCUCCUUCGGUCAAAACUCCUCUCGCUGGCCUUGGUAGUUGACUGGCGGCAUCCACGAAGCCUUGAAGACCGAAACUCCACCGAGCGAAGCCUCCACCGAAGCAAGGAAAUCUACAGAAGCAAGAGCGGCCGCACGUCUCCACCAUCGAAGACCUUCGCUUCAGCCAGCGCCUCCACGCGUCCUCAACCAGAGCUCUUUCAGUCAACCGCAGCAAGCCCACCGAAAGUCAGUGGUUGACCUAGCAGCUUUGUUCAGCUGCCACUUGGCCGUGAGGCCUUCCGUCGAUGCCUCCCUCACACGCCCACCGAGCUGAGCUCCUCUCUGCUGGGCCGAAGUUGUCUCAACCGAAGUCACCAAUUCCCCAGCAGCAACUCCACGUCGACGCUGCAGCCCCACUUCGGCUUGUCUUCAACGGAGUCAACGGAACCAGCAGCUUCUUCUCUUUUGUUGACUGAAGCUGCCAGCGGAUGCCCCUUCUCCACUGAGGUUGGUCGGCCACAGAAGCCAGCAAGCUGUCCGAGAAUUUUCUUCAUCGUCAACCGAAACCUCGAAGCAUCUCCACGCCUCACCGAACCGCACGUCAUCAGCUCCUUGGACCACCGAAGCUGCAAGUCCAGCCCAGCGAAUUCCAAGCCCAGUCGUCCGUGUAUCUUCAGCCCAUCUGCAGAGGCAUUUCUAGCCCAGCAUAAAUUGGAUUAGAAGCCCAGUAAUUUCAGUCUUUUGGGCCCAGCAAAGACAGGCCCAAUUCAGUUUUAUUUCAAGCCCAUUUUCAGCAAUUGUAAUCUUCAAGCCCAGUUUUUGAAGCCCAAUCGCAGCUAGGCCCAAGUCCAAGAGCAAGCCCAUUCCAGUGCAAGAACAAAUCUCAAUUGGGCUGAGAUUUGUUGGGCCUAAUUCAAGGCCCGGUCCAAGUCCGUGGGAGUCGUUGCGAGCCCGUUUUCGGCCGCCGUCGCGUCGCCGUCGUGGUGAUUCGAUUCCCGCUUUUGAUCAAGUGAGUUUUACUCACUAAUGCUUUAUUAGUUUGCUAAUUAUGCCUUAUGGUUGGUUAGAUUUAAUUACAUGCACUUAGGUGGUUAGAUUAGGUUAGAACAAUUAAUUUAGUGACUUAAUGAUGCAUGUUAGGUGGCUAGACCUAGUUAUUAGCAAGUAGAAAGGUUCGGUUAUUUAUUGAAUGUAUCUCGGGAUUUUUCCCGACCCGUUUCGGGCUCCAAUAAGGCAAUAUGGGCCUAAAUUGGAUUUUCAAUGUUUAUUUAUUUAUUUUCGAAAUUUAUUUAAUUAAUUAUUUUUCCGGAAAUUCAACUGGGAUGGCCAGUGACUGGAAUUUCGUGCUGAUUGUCGUGGUGCAGCUCGUUUAUUCAUUUGAGCUCUACGUUGUGUGGAAUUGAAUUAAUUGUGAAAUUUGAGGAUUUAUCCUUAAAUGUUUGUUAUUGAAUAUUUGAUUGGUAAUGGCCAAGCAUGAGUAUAUAGCGCCAGUACUUUGAUGGGCUAUAUAGUAGGGAGAAUGGUGAGACCAAUCAGGUAUGAUGUUAUUGGACAUACGUGGUUCGGUGAUUGGAAGUAUCACUGGCGAAAACGGCGCCUUAAAGAACGCACGUAAAUGACUUAUAGACAAACGUGGUUCGGUGGUUAUGGGAAUAUCACUGGUGAAAACGGCGCCUUAAAGAACGCACGAUGUUGUCUAUAGCCGAUGUCACCUUGGCGAAAACGGCGCCCUUGAAAGGACACGUGGUUCGGUGAUCAAGGUUAUCACUGGUGAAAACGGCGCCUUAAAGAACGCACGGUGUCGGUGAUCGGUAUGUCAUUGGCGAAAACGACGCCCGAGAAACACAUGUGAUUUGGUGAAUGAGUACACCACUGGGAAAUCGUGGUAUGAGUGGGAAUGACCUAGAAAGGGUCUGACUGACAUGUAAUCGACUGAGUCGAUUGAUCAAUGCUUGAUCGGAUGUCGUGAAUUGUUUGAAUAUCUGUGUUUAACCUUGAAUUGCAGGUUGGAACUGAGGCCAAGGUAAGUCCUUUGACUCGUGUUGUGCUUAGGCAACCGUAUGGUGUAUUAGUUUACUAAUCGAGUCGUAGGGGGUAGGACUCGCUGAGACGUGGUCUCAUUGGUUAUUGAAUAACCAUUUCAGGACCCUGAGGAGAAUCUAAGGAAGAGGAACCUGAAGAGGAGAAAGUAUUUUGAAGAAGAAGAAGAUCCAGAGAGGGAUCUUGAAUAUAACCCGGAUG